rnacentral:lncRNA from 1 species
UGUGCGCGAGAUGAUUCCCUCCACGAUUCCCAACAGCUCUCACCUCACCAUUUGACACACACAAAACAAACGAAUUCCCGUCCUCGAAACUUGGUGUAUCGCGUGGUUACGCAAACCGACGAUUACCAGAGAGAAAACGGUCGAUCUCUCGAUUGCGUUGCCUCGCGAGUGCUAUGCUUUUCGAUCGUGCGUUAUGAGUUUUUUUCAACGACGCGACGAGACAAAGCGUGUUUACGGAUUCACGUCGAAACAGAGAUAGAUACGUGGCAAAAGCUGUGCUUGCCCUUUUGCUUGUUGGCGGGAGACUGCUGGCUAAGCGGCACGAGAGAGUUUACAUGAGGCUCGACUGGAUGAGUCAUCCGGCUGGACGCUGAUUGGCCGGUCGCUUCGUGACGUACACGAUUCGCGGACGAAGGCACACGAACGUAGUCGAGUACCGCGCUCUGUCUGUGUACCGUCUGGUCGUCCUUCUCUUUCCAAAGGACGAUCGUAUUUUCCUUCUUUUUUUACGUUCUUCCUAGUUUCGCGGGGCUUCGUGCAUUUCGUCGUAACGGCACGCAACGCUCCGCGGCGUCCUAUGACGACCUUGUCGCGCGACUUGCUCGUAAAUACAUAACGUAAUGCGGCUUAAUUGCCGAAGCAUCAAUAAAUCGACUUGUUGGAUUACAAUGGAAAGUUUGAAAGCUCCGGUCUUCCGUGUUUCCAUACCCGAGGAUCAUCCGCUGUAUGCAUCAUUCAAUCUCUAAUUCAGAAUGUUACUUAACGUUAUCGGUCACAUAUUUCGUUAUCGAAUAAGUGAAAGAAAACUAUAUUGUUUAUAAUAGCAAAUGGAAAUCUUCAUUUAAGGAAAUCGGACGAACAUCUGGAAGGAAAUAGGAGAAGAAAUAAAACUUCCUCUAAUUCGUGGUCCAAACAAAGAAACACGGGUUAUUUAUAAGAAUUUUGGACGGUCAAAGAAAGUCGAGCACAGGAGUAACACGACUGAAAGAUCAAAGGUUGACUUUUGCUGGGAGUAAAAAUAAAUCGAGGCAUUAUGCGUCUCUUUCGAAUACAAUGAUUCACGGAUCUGCACUGGUGAUUCGACCACGCGUGACCCGCCAUGAUGAACAACCGACAUCUCCGAGGGAAUCGUUACAAAUAUGGCAUUGAACCCCAACUUUCCACGACGUUUCCUCUUCUGCAUCAGGCGUCCCAUUAACGGGAUCGUGUUACGCGAAAUCCACGCCAGUUUUGCGCUACGUAUCCUCUUAACCUCGUAAUUUGCAUAUGGCGUCCCAAGGUUUCGCCUACUUCCCCAUUCUCUUUUUGUACAUUUUUUUUUCUAACAAACAUAUUGAAGAUUUUACUUGUACAUCUUAACAACACAUGUAAGAUUCUUCAGGUAUUCGUCAGAUUUUGGGAAACCCAGUAGACAUUAUUUGCAAAGCCGGUGAUUUAUGAAGGUGUCUUGCGGUUGUGGUACAAGGAAAAGAGUGAUGUAUACUGGACAUGAUGAUUUCUUGAAAUCUGUACCUUUGAGUCACCUCGUGACUUUAGUGCCACGUUUUUUUUCAGAUCAUAGGAAAUUCAACUCCACGUGGCUUCACAUGUUUUUGCCAUUUCGUCGACAAGGUGUUUAUCAAUGGAUGAAGCAAGUUAUAUCUUCAUUUUAAUCGUGAUAAAGGAAACCUACACAUCCCUCAUCAUACACACUGUACAAAAAUCAGGUAUACGUGUAUAAGAUGAGCAAAGACUUAAUAACAUUUAAAUCUGAACUUUCAGAUGACGCUGUCAUGUUGGGGUGUCUCUGCACAGUAAAAGUCGAUUAUUACCGUUACAAGAGGGCUGAUUAUUAAGUUUGAAAUGUAUAAUACCAUGACAGGAGUCCAAUAUUACAUCGGAUACCUAUAUCAGGAUUAAAAAAAGCUCUAAGCCCCUGUGAUUCAUCCAUAGAUGCAUCGAGUGUCAUCGCCGGAACGAGAUCUCGAGGGGCACGUUUCUCCGAGCAAAAUGGUGGUCCCUCGAGGAACGCCGACAAAUGAUUCAAUUCGACACGCGAGAUGGAAAUCCCUUCAAGGCUAAUGACUAAACGUUUAGAGCGAAUCGCAUGCUGUAUCGCGCUUUCUUGAGAAUCGAUGCGAUAUUGUCAUCGAGUAAAGAUGGAAGAAAAAAGAAUUACGGACGUCAUCCUGCACCGCCCAGAUAUACCCAUAAAGUUUCAGGGAAACUGACUAUUCUAGCUCGUGAUGUCAUUGAAAAUCAAAAAAUUCUGGUAAACGAAGGUGUUUCGAUAAAACACUUCAGGCAAAAAGUUCUUACUUUUCUCAGUUCCAUAAAGUUUAUGCGAUAUUUUGAAGGUUUGUCACCGGGUCGAUCAGGUCCGAAGAUUAGUCAGCUAGGAACGCGGUUAAAAGUCGAGCUUAGUCAUUUUCAAGUCCAGAUCAUCCUCUGAAAAAUGUUCUCGAUCUAAUCGGGACGAUGAGGGACUUUGAUUUCCAGCGAGUGCACUCAUUGUCAACGAGUGACUCGUUUCGAUGAUGCAAUAACCGAUGAUAAAUGUGGAUAAUUAUUUCAUGUGUACGCAGGGUAUGUUAUCCACUUUUUAGAACUGGGUGUAGUCAUACCUAGAUAUGAUAAAUCCAGUAUUUUCGUUCGAUGGAACGUGUAGCUUGUUGCAUCGACACGUUCUAUUUUUAGAGGGUCGAUUUUUCAUCACACCUUUAGAGAUCUAAUCAAAAUAAUAUUAGAUGACUCACGCUAUAUCGGUCAUAGCGAGCCUUGCCCCCUUUAAUCCUGCUAAACGAAUUAUGAAAAAUACUCGACUGUUUUGUGCCUCUUAAUGGGUUUGAACGCUCUAUUUCUCGUUGGAAUCGUAAAACUAAUUGUGUAAGGUUUUCAAUGCAUCUUAUAGUUGCAGAAUCGUAACAUAAAAUAUAGUACAGUAAUAUGAUAAAGUAUAGUAAAAUACAAUAUAAAAAUAAUGUAAAAACAUAGUAUAAAAAUAGCGCUUCUGAGCACUUAACAAUUUUCGAAGCGAAACAUGUAAUUUUACGAAGCGAAUUACGAAUGACUCAGAACCAAAUAUUGCGCAAUUUGUUAAAAUUCUAAUAUUAUUCCCUAGUUUACUAAUGGAGUUAUGUUACCGUGCCAAUAAAUGGAGAUAAUCGAAAAGAGCACGUGGUGCGAAUGUCUAACUAAAUUAAUCAUCCUCGCAUUCUUGUUCGAUUUCGAGCAGGAAUUCAAAAGAUGGUCAAUCGAUUGGUAGCAGAUCGAGCCAUUCGACGUGAAUCAAAUGGUAAACAGUGCGAUACGUUCCGAGCGUCUGGCGAUCCACCAUGAUUCACCGUGGCGCUCGACGAUGUAUUGGGAAUAAAGUUCAUCGAUAAUACCGGCUAAAUAGGGACGAUGUAGACAUCGAUGGAAACUUUUCAUGAAAUCAUCGUAAUAGAUUUCGUUCUAAACCAAUUUCACUUUCGAUCCCGGAAGGUCGAUGACCUGGACCAUCGUUUUCUUUAUUCUACGUGCAAAGAUACGUCCGAUGAGUCAGACCCUGGGUCACCUGAUACAUCAUCUAGAUUUAUGGCAAUGUUAUUACGUGCAAUAUGGAGACGCAAAAGUUGAUAUCGAUGCUCAAUGCGGUUCGCUAUGAGUCACAGUUUAGAGCGCCUAGGCACUCGGUGACCCUGAAUUAUUAUACCGCGUGCUUUUGUUUACCAGCUUUCAAGUCGGCUGGUUAGCUGCAUAGCUUGGACGAGUAGCGUGAUUCAGACGCGGACAUUUAUGCAAGAUUUACAUAAGUCCGUGAUCCUUGUCGCGAGGUCCAGUUCGCGGAAAAGCCAUCGAUCAUGGACGCCAUCUUGAUGCUCGUGAUGCUGUACCAUGCGCCACCGAGAUGGCUUCGAGCAUCCAAACAACUCGUAAACCCGUCUUGUUUAAUCGCGGAGUCAUUUGCUUAUUUAAUACCUCGUGAAAAUUAUUAAUACCAUUUAUUGGGAGAUGUUGCAAUAUUCGUUUUCUAGUUUAUUCGAAAGUAGAUGUUCUGAUUAAGUAAACUCAUAUUUUAGGAAGACAAAGUAGGUAUUUAAUUUUAGGGUUGUCCUGCAUUUAAUACAGGGUUGCUGAAUGUACUAAUUUAUCUUUAAUCAAAAGCGUAAAACUGUAAGUAAAAGCAUGCAGUCCUCUUCAGCUGCUUUUCCACGGAUUAACAUUUAAGCUACGACUACUAUGUAAAUCUGUCUAGUUAAGAAGGUUUACGGCUUGCGGACAAUAAUUUCAAAGCUUGCCAACGCCGUGUACGUUUCCUGUCAAACAUGUUGUUUUCAAUCGUAGAUUAUAUCCUGUGCAACACCAACGUGCUAUAUCAUAUAGCCUCGACAAUUUUACCUACAUAUUGCUCUGCUGUAUUGCCACACGUACGGUGCCAUGAGUUAUAUCGCCAUUUUCAUACGUUACAUUACUAUCCGUUGCAUAUCGAAGCGCGAUAGAUUAUGUCACCUAUAUUUCACUCACGCUAUAUCGCCACGAUAUUCUCAUGCGGUGUAUCACCCGUUGCAUUAUUACCCGCUACAUUAUUACUCGUUAGAUUAUCACCCGUUAAAUAUCAGAUCACGAUAGAUUACCUUGCAUUUACUUCACUCACGCUAUAUCGCCACGAUAUUCUCAUGCGGUGUAUCACCCGUUGCAUGAUUACCCGCUACAUUAUUACUCGAUAGAUUCCCACCCGUUAUAUAUCAGAUCACGAUAGAUUACCUUGCAUUUACUUCACACGCACUAUAUCGCCACGAUAUUUCCAAGCGCUAUAUUAUCACCCGUUACAUUAUUACCCGCCACAUUAUUACUCGUUAGAUUAUCACCCGUUAGAUAUCAGAUCACAACAGAUUAUGUCACCUUGCGUUUGGUUCACACGCACUAUAUCGCCACGAUAUUUCCAUGCGUGGAAUUAUCACUCGUUGAAUUAUUACCUGCUACAUUACUACUUGUUAGAUUACCACCCGUUACAUAUCUAAUCAUGACAGAUUAUGUCGCUUUCAGUUCACACGCACUAUAUCGCCACGUGCCGCGUUUCUAUUACGUUCUAAAAUGACGUAUCCUUUAUCGAAAGAACUCCGUAUCUAAAAUUGAAACGAAAAAUGUUAUCGAUCGACACGCGUCUCUAAGCGCCGCAAUUUCCGCGUUUAUCUGCUCGGUUAGUCACGCUCGACUUUUACUCGAGGAUUGCAAUAAUAGCGAACCUGUCGCGCCGCUGUAUAUCCCUAAUGUUACGCGAUAAAAAUUGUUUGUUCGACGCCCUCGAUAAUAUGGAUUCUCCAUUAAUCUCCGAUUAAUCUUCGUGUAAUAAUGUGAGUCACGAGCAACGAGAAGGAAAAUGUCGAGUGGAGUCCUUAAAACGUGCUCGGUGAGUCACGACAGACUUACUGCUCCAUUUCCCUUUAAUCUCUCGUCUUUGUACGAUCAUGGUCUGCUUUGAAACCGACUGCUUUCUGUCUUUUAUUCGAUAAGGAUUCAGAGAUAGCCAUGCUCCUACGGUAUUUAUAAUACGGUGUACUCGAGAAACUGAACUGCU